GGUCUUAUGGUCUAGUGGUGUAAGUACAACAGCCUCACAUGAGUUCAACAACAACUAACAAUUCUUCAGAUGAUUCUCGCUUAGGGCUGUUACCUGAGCACAUUUGCGAGAGGCCCCGCGUUCGAAUCGCGGUAAGACCC